rfam:Stegodyphus mimosarum contig9066, whole genome shotgun sequence.
GCCUUCGGGGUGUAGUGGUCAACACGCUGGGCGCGUAUUCCAGAGGUCCGUGGUUCGAGUCGCGGCGAAGGCG